rnacentral:rRNA from 1 species
UACGAAGGGGGCUAGCGUUGCUCGGAAUUACUGGGCGUAAAGGGAGCGUAGGCGGACUGUUUAGUCAGAGGUGAAAGCCCAGGGCUCAACCUUGGAAUUGCCUUUGAUACUGGCAGUCUUGAGUACGGAAGAGGUAUGUGGAACUCCGAGUGUAGAGGUGAAAUUCGUAGAUAUUCGGAAGAACACCAGUGGCGAAGGCGUCAUACUGGUCCGUUACUGACGCUGAGGCUCGAAAGCGUGGGGAGCAAACUGAUG